rnacentral:lncRNA from 1 species
UUCAUUACGUAAAGAGGUCCCAAUUUGCGCUGCUUCACUGUAUUUCCUUUGUUUAGAUUUGCCAUCAUUUCUCCUUCUUCAUGCUGAAGACACCGCUGUUCCAGCCAAAAUCAGCGUCAAUGAAAAUAUUCCAAACAGCCUGUUCUUGCCUUUGUAAGACCCAUUCGAAGUUCAAAUUUUUCUGCAAAAUCAGAGGUUUCCGUUCGUUUUUCGAUCGAAAUGUCGUCCAUUGUCUCCGGUCAAGUUCGAGUUGCCGGAUUUCUUUGUACAUCGC